AGCCCCAGGGCAGCAUGCGGGCGGGGGGAGCUUCCUAGACGUUUGGGUUCUAAUCACACGUGGGGGUGGCGAGCCCUGCAAACAGAAGGGCGAGAGCCGAGAGGUGGUUCCUGGCAAUGAAGCCAUGGUGACUAGUUCAGCUGUUCUCCCGUGCAGCGAGGUCUAGGGGCAGCCAAGCGGAAAACCUCCUCUGAUCACAAGGCAUCUAGGAGAAAAGCCUAGCCACGCUGGGGGCAGAGAUGAUCCUGAGCGCUCCAGCUAAGAAUUGACAGUAAAUCCCUUACCCCAUACACACUCUCAUCACAGGGCAAACACUUCCCCAUGCACAUUGACCUGCAGCGUGCAAGCAAGCUUAGCCUGCAGCCAAGCGUUCUCCCGUGGUACUAAAGUUCAGUCCGCUUAGAGCCAUGGGGAAUGGGAUGAACAAGAUUCUGCCUGGCUUGUUCCUUGGCAACUUUAAAGACUUGAAAUGUGAUUUCUUGGGGUCUUCCAGUAUUAGAAGCAACGGGGGUGCAUUUUCUUGGGAAGCUGGGAAUUUCUCCUGUCCAGUGUAAGAAAUCUCCUGUUUCUAGCUCUGCAGAAUUAUGCUCGAGAUGCGGAGCAACUGAGCAAGAAUAAUGUUACACACAUUCUGUCAAUCCAUGACGGUGCUAGGCCUAUGCUUGAGGGAGUGAAAUAUCUGUGCAUUCCUGCUGCCGAUUCACCCUCACAGAAUUUG